rnacentral:rRNA from 1 species
CCACCUACGGGAGGCAGCAGUGAGGAAUAUUGGUCAAUGGUCGGGAGACUGAACCAGCCAAGCCGCGUGAGGGAUGAAGGUACAGAGUAUCGUAAACCUCUUUUGUCAGGGAACAAAGGCGGGGACGUGUCCCCGGAUGAGUGUACCUGAAGAAAAAGCAUCGGCUAACUUCGUGCCAGCAGCCGCGGUAAUACGGAGGAUGCGAGCGUUAUCCGGAUUUAUUGGGUUUAAAGGGGGCGCAGGCGGUGUGUUUAGUCAGCGGUCAAAGUCCGGGG